rnacentral:rRNA from 1 species
CACGGAGUUAGCCGGGGCUUAUUCUCCCGGUACUGUCAUUAUCAUCCCGGGUAAAAGAGCUUUACAACCCUAAGGCCUUCAUCACUCACGCGGCAUUGCUGGAUCAGGCUUGCGCCCAUUGUCCAAUAUUCCCCACUGCUGCCUCCCGUAGGAGUCUGGGCCGUGUCUCAGUCCCAGUGUGGCUGAUCAUCCUCUCAGACCAGCUAAGGAUCGUCGCCUUGGUGCGCCUUUACCACACCAACUAGCUAAUCCUACGCGGGCUCAUCCCUAGGCGAUAAAUCUUUGGACUUACGUCAUCAUCCGGUAUUAGCAGUCAUUUCUAACUGUUAUUCCGAACCUAAGGGCAGAUUCCCACGCGUUACGCACCCGUGCGCCACUAAGGCCGAAGCCUUCGUUCGACUUGCAUGUGUUAGGCAUGCCGCCAGCGUUCGUUCUGAGCCAGGAUCAAACUCU